GACGAACGCUGGCGGCGUGCUUAACACAUGCAAGUCGAACGGAAAGGCCCUGCUUUUGUGGGGUGCUCGAGUGGCGAACGGGUGAGUAACACGUGAGUAACCUGCCCUUGACUUUGGGAUAACUUCAGGAAACUGGGGCUAAUACCCGAUCGGAGCUCCUGCUGCAUGGUGGGGGUUGGAAAGUUUCGGCGGUUGGGGAUGGACUCGCGGCUUAUCAGCUUGUUGGUGGGGUAGUGGCUUACCAAGGCUUUGACGGGUAGCCGGCCUGAGAGGGUGACCGGCCACAUUGGGACUGAGAUACGGAGCAGACUCCUACGGGAGGCAGCAGUGGGGAAUAUUGCACAAUGGGCGGAAGCCUGAUGCAGCAGCGCCGCGUGCGGGAUGACGGCCUUCGGGUUGUAAACCGCUUUCGCCUGUGACGAAGCGUGAGUGACGGUAAUGGGUAAAGAAGCACCGGCUAACUACGUG
rnacentral:rRNA from 1 species